rnacentral:siRNA from 1 species
UGGAUUCCAACUGUAGUGACAAUC